rnacentral:rRNA from 1 species
GAUGAACGCUGGCGGCGUGCCUAAUACAUGCAAGUAGAGCGAACAGAUGAGGAGUUUGCUCCUCUGACGUUAGCCGCGGACGGGUGAGUAACACGUGGAUAACCUCUCUAUACGACUGGGAUAACUUCGGAAAACCGGAUCUAAUACCGUAUAAUAUAUUGAUCCGCAUGGUUCACUAGUAAAAUACGAUUUUACUGUUACUAAUAGAUGCAUCCUUGCCUUAUUAGCUAGUUGGUAAGGUAACUGCUUACCACGGCAACGCUUCGUCGCCGCCCGAAGAGGUGGACCGGCACACCUGGACCGAAAACACGGUCCAAACUCCUACGGAAGGAACCAGAAGGGAAUCUUCGGCAAUGGGCGAAAGCUGACCGGAGCAACGCCGCGGGGGGGAUGAAGGUUUUCGGAUCGUAAGACUCUGUGAUUAGGGAAGAACAAAUGUGUAAGUAACUAUGCACGUCUUGACGGUACCUUAUCAGAAAGCCACGGCUAACUACGUG